rnacentral:rRNA from 1 species
GUGGGGAAUCUUCCGCAAUGGGCGCAAGCCUGACGGAGCAACGCCGCGUGAAUGAAGAAGGCCUUCGGGUCGUAAAGUUCUGUCUUUAGAGAAGAAGUCUCUCUAUGUGAAUAAUGUAGAGAGGUGACGGUACCUAAGGAGGAAGCUCCGGCUAACUACGUGCCAGCAGCCGCGGUAAUACGUAGGGAGCAAGCGUUGUCCGGAAUUACUGGGCGUAAAGGGCGCGUAGGCGGAUAAUUAAGUCAGGUGUGAAAACUCUGGGCUCAACCUGGAGAUUGCACUUGAAACUGGUUAUCUUGAGGGCAGGAGAGGAAAGUGGAAUUCCUAGUGUAGCGGUGAAAUGCGUAGAUAUUAGGAGGAACACCAGUGGCGAAAGCGGCUUUCUGGACGACAACUGACGCUGAGGCGCGAAAGCCAGGGGAGCAAACGGGAUUAGAUACCCGUGUAGUCC